UCCAGCUGUAGGCAACUACCUAGGUUGCCUUGUAACCCAGCAAGUGUUACACUGCCGGGAGAAAAGCAGCCAAUAGCUAGUGGACAUG
rnacentral:snoRNA from 1 species